rnacentral:rRNA from 1 species
UACAGAGGGUGCGAGCGUUAAUCGGAAUUACUGGGCGUAAAGGGUGCGUAGGUGGUUUGAUAAGUUAAGUGUGAAAGCCCCGGGCUUAACCUGGGAAUUGCGCUUAAUACUGUUGAGCUAGAGUACUGUAGAGGAAAGUGGAAUUUCCGGUGUAGCGGUGAAAUGCGUAGAUAUCGGAAGGAACAUCAGUGGCGAAGGCGACUUUCUGGACAGAUACUGACACUGAGGCACGAAAGCAUGGGGAGCAAACAGG